UACGUAGGGACCGAGCGUUGUCCGGAUUCAUUGGGCGUAAAGAGCUCGUAGGCGGCUGUUCAAGUCGAACGUGAAAACUCGGAGCUCAACUCCGAGCCUGCGUUCGAUACUGGACGGCUAGAGUCUGGUAGGGGGAUCUGGAAUUCCUGGUGUAGCGGUGGAAUGCGCAGAUAUCAGGAGGAACACCCGUGGCUAAGGCGGCUCGCUGGGACGGUACUGACGCUGAGGCGCGAAAGCGUGGGAAGCGAACAGG
rnacentral:rRNA from 1 species